rnacentral:tRNA from 1 species
GAAGACUUGUCUUAGCAGAAAGAGCCUGAGGAUGGAAUUCAGGAGAACUGGGUUCUAAUCCCAGCUUCA